CCUACGGGGGGCAGCAGUAGGGAAUCUUCCACAAUGGGCGAAAGCCUGAUGGAGCAACGCCGCGUGGGUGAAGAAGGUCUUCGGAUCGUAAAACCCUGUUGUUAGAGAAGAAAGUGCGUGAGAGUAACUGUUCACGUUUCGACGGUAUCUAACCAGAAAGCCACGGCUAACUACGUGCCAGCAGCCGCGGUAAUACGUAGGUGGCAAGCGUUAUCCGGAUUUAUUUGGCGUAAAGGGAACGCAGGCGGUCUUUUAAGUCUGAUGUGAAAGCCGUCGGCUUAACCGGAGUAGUGCAUUGGAAACUGGGAUACUUGAGUGCAGAAGAGGAGAGUGGAAUUCAAUGUGUAGCGGUGAAAUGCGUAGAUAUAUGGAAGAACACCAGUGGCGAAAGCGGCUCUCUGGUCUGUAACUGACGCUGAGGCUCGAAAGCGUGGGUAGCAAACAGGAUUAGAUACCCGAGUAGUC
rnacentral:rRNA from 1 species